rnacentral:rRNA from 1 species
AUUGAACGCUGGCGGCAGGCCUAACACAUGCAAGUCGAGCGGCUGAAGGGAGCUUGCUCCUGGAUUCAGCGGCGGACGGGUGAGUAAUGCCUAGGAAUCUGCCUGGCAGUGGGGGAUAACGUCCGGAAACGGGCGCUAAUACCGCAUACGUCCAGAGGGAGAACGUGGGGGAUCUUCGGACCUCACGCUAUCAGAUGAGCCUAGGUCGGAUUAGCUAGUUGGUGGGGUAAAGGCCUACCAAGGCGACGAUCCGUAACUGGUCUGAGAGGAUGAUCAGUCACACUGGAACUGAGACACGGUCCAGACUCCUACGGGAGGCAGCAGUGGGGAAUAUUGGACAAUGGGCGAAAGCCUGAUCCAGCCAUGCCGCGUGUGUGAAGAAGGUCUUCGGAUUGUAAAGCACUUUAAGUUGGGAGGAAGGGCAGUAAGUUAAUACCUUGCUGUUUUGACGUUACCAACAGAAUAAGCACCGGCUAACUUCGUG